UACAGUUCAUGGAGUUGCGGAGUCAGGCACAGCUGAAGCAGGUUCAUCUGUUCUUUCAUCCAGAGCCCAUUUAAGGCCCUGGCAUCUCAUCAAAAGUCUGCAGGAUGCCAGUGGCUCAUCAGAGGUGACUUCCUGCCAGCCUUACUCUGUGACUAGGGUCCCUUCAUAUGCCUUAGGAAACACUCCGUGGGCCUGGGAUCCCAUGAUAGGCCCCCGUGGCCUUGGCUUCUACAAAGGAUAUUUGCAGGAGUUUCCUGCAAAAAUAAACCCCUGGUGGCAACUUUCAACCCUGAAACUUACUGGCAGGCUUUCAGAUACUUCAAAAUAAGAAAAGAUUUUCUAAAAUGUAUCUCUUUGAUAGCUCACCUAGAGAGAGACAGCAUUUGAGGAUAAAAACUAAGAAGCUAUAAUUGAAGCUGACUUCUUUGAAGUUGAUGUAACAGGCUUACAACUUACUGAAACAGUGGCAGUGAUUUUGUAUUGAACCAAAUUCCAAAUUAAGACUGAAGUAGAGAGAAGUCAUUGAACUUGAAAACCAAAGAACUUAGCAAUAAACUUGUCCAACCACUUUACUUUCCAGAUAAAGUUGCUAACCAUCAGGGAGGUGAAACAACUGGUCCAAGGUCACACGGCCACUCAGAGGUUCACUCUAGGAGAGGGGUCCCUUGCCCAUAUGACUGUUGUCUCUGUUUUCACGAGGCCCUAAGUGAGGGCCAAUGACAGAGAAAUGGACUUCCUGAGCCCAGAGUCCAAGCACCACCUCCAUAAUGUGGGGGACAUUUCUGAGCAGCAAAUAGUAACGUCUCUGUUAACCUCCACUGAGUGAAUCCAGUCCCUUGAAAAGUUGGAAAACAGUGCAAAGCACUGUUGCCAAGAACAGCUCAAGAUUGCUUAUCCUUUAAAUUUUGAAUU